rnacentral:snoRNA from 1 species
GCUGUGUCAGUAGGUUACGGAGAGAAGCAAGGCUAUGAGAGAUGUUCAGUGUUCUGUCCUAUGAACAUCUGAAUGAUUAGUAGUCUAAUGAG